rnacentral:rRNA from 1 species
AUUGAACGCUGGCGGAAUGCUUUACACAUGCAAGUCGCACGGCAGCACGGACUUCGGUCUGGUGGCGAGUGGCGAACGGGGGAGUAAUGUAUCGGAACGUGCCUAGCCUUGGGGGAUAACGAUGAGAAAAUUACACCAAUACCGCAUACGAUCAUCGGUCGAACAAGGGAGAACGCAAGACCUAGACCGAUGGGAGCGGCCGUUAUCAGAUUAGGUAGUUGGUGGGGUAAAGGUCCACCAAGCCAACGAUGUGUAGCUGGUCUGAGAGGACGAACAGCCACACCGGAACUGAGACAGGGUCCAGACUCCUACGGGAGGCAGCAGUGGGGAAUUUUGGGCAAUGGGCGAAAGCCUGAUCCAGCAAUUCCGCGUGCAGGAUGAAGGCCCUCGGGUUGUAAACUGCUUUUGUACAGAACGAAAAGGUUUCUACUAAUACGAGGAGCUCAUGACGGUACUGUAAGAAUAAGCACCGGCUAACUACGUGCCAGCAGCCGCAGUAA